AGUAGCAUACUGGCUCAAAGAGGCAGAGUUGUCCAAAACUUUCCUGCAGAUUAAAAGAAAUUACAACUGGUAAUGAAGCAGAAAGAAUUUAUUAUCAACCAUAGAUAGGAAAAUACAUUAGUGUAAGGAACCUCUAUGUACAGAUCUCUAGAACUAAGAAUACAGAGAACAGAGAGAAAAUAGUUGUUUACCAUUCUUUUCCAGAGAUUUUUUAAAGAGCUGCCUUUUUCAGAUUUUAUUAGAGAUUGAACAUUCAUUGAAUAUUGUGAAAACUUUUUCUUUUUUUUAAAUUAUGGAUGUGUAUCUCUGCUGACUUUAUCUUGAAUGGUAAACAAGAGUUGAUCCCAUGUACUACAUGAUGGCUCAUGAUGGUAUGUAGAGUGUUAGUCACAGAGAAACUACUACAAAAGGACAUUGGCCUCUACGAAACAUAAGUGUUCUGAGGUAAAAAUAAAAAACGGUCCAGCUAAUCUUAUCAAUUUUAUUGCAGAAGGUUUCAGUAUUACAAAACAAAGGCUGGAAACUUUGGACAGCCCUGUUAUAAUAUAAAGGGUAAAGAAGAAAUAAAGCAAGAGGUAAUGAAAAAAAAAUGGAAGGACAGGAAAGAAAGACUUGAUCCAUUAGUUGCACAGUUUCUCAUUAGUUUAAGUAUAGAUGUUGGAGGUGUACUACUAAAAUUAAGAUUUUUUUAUUUUCCAUUUAAUGUCUUUGUCUGGGAAGGAUGAAUUUGAAAAUUUAAACACAAAGGUCUCUGAAUUUAGUUUCCAUUACCAAUAUUACUUUCUAGCACUUUAAGCAGCAAUCGUCAAGUACAAUCACUUAUCACUGAUUGCACCGAUAUCAAGUCAAAUACUUUACCAUACAGUUUAAUUUAAGCGAGACACCAUCUCUGACAACACCUGGUGUCAAACAGCUCUCCAUCACGACAUUAAAUUUCACAAAAAUAGUCUACUAACAAGCAGGACGAUCUACAGAUUUAACAUUAUCGGUCUGUGGGCACCAACUUCGCAUCUUUCUACCAUUUAGUCAGAGAAGCAAAUGUUAUAGGACCAAUAAUCAAUGUUAAUAAUUGUGAAACAGAUCAUUAAACCAAAAUAGACACCAAUAAUGUAGGAGAAUUCAUUAUAUACACAUACACAACACAAUUCAUUUGUUUUGCAGAAAGGAUAUAUGCAAUACACAUUUUAUUCACACUUUACAAAACACUAAUCUCAUUUUUACUUUAAUAACAUUAACAAUUCAUGGUCACUUAAGACAAAACAAAAUGCUGAAGAAUAUUGUGAAGAGGCCCCGAAUAACAAAAGACUGCUCUGGUUCUUACUGCUAAAACAAAGCAAGACGUAAAAGCCAUACUGCUGCAUAGUUCAAAGAAACUGAUUAGUGACAUGUUGAAUGUGUGAUGGUCAUGCUGACAUCAGUUUAGUGAACCAAAAUACAUGAACUACAAAUAGACCACUGCCAGACAUCAUUUGCAAAUCAUAGAGAUGAUAAUUUGGUCCAAAGGCUCCGAACUAAAGGUUUUGGAGAUAGUUUCAAAAAUAAAAAUCCCACAUGGAAGUACCAUAUGAGGAAAAUCUAACUCUUGCAAUUGGCUUCAGAAGAACACAUCAAACUGGCACUACACAGGAAAGAUUAUGGCCAUUUAAUAUGAAUAUGAAAAUUUAAGUGUAUCAGACUUUAAAAUGUUUGGUCCUGUGUUGCAAAAAUUAUAAAUGUUUAGAAAUUUGGAAUAAAAUGCGGAUAACUAUAGAUCAAAACAUUCUUAGUACCGGAUAUCUAAAGACUCUUCGAGCUCAGAAAGAUGAAGAUACAUUGAUAGCAUAAUGCAAUCUAAAAAGAAACUACUGAAUAUCCUUUUUUUUUUUUUAGACCAGUGGUUGGGAAGUUGCUCACCGAAGAGUGUGCAAGACAGAUACACAGUUGCACGAUAUAUAUAAUGACAGAAGUGUUACUGACUUGACUUCACAUAGACAGAUGGCAUGUUACGGAGCUUUCCCCUCCCUUUAUGUAUACGCCAGUGAGACACGCUGAAAUAAUAGCUUGAGAUGAACGAUUAGAAGGACAAGAAAAGCAUGUACUCUGAAAUUUACAAAAGAAAAUUAAUUACUAUAGUAAAAAAAAGAGUGCAAAAUGAGCAAUGAGUGCAAAAGUAUGGCAGUGAGAACCAGAAACAACCUUUGUCUUUUACACAAGCUGGUAUGUUUUGAUUAAUUUUGAUAAAAAUGUACAAUACAAUCUUAAUUUUCUGAAUUUGGAUCAUAAUUUAUUCUUAGUACAAAAACAAAACAUUUUUUAAAAAAAGCAUUCUUGCAUGUGGCUUAUAUACAAUCAGGUCAAGCAUCUGUCCAUUUAUAUAUAUUCGAUUAAAUUUUGUACAAAGACCUGGGAGGACCUUUCUGAUACAAUAUAGAAGGUGGUUAUGGCUAGGUCAGAACAUUACUAGCCUUAAGAACAGUGCUACAGAUCUUUCCAGGAUGUGUGUAAUGAGAGGAUGAAAAGGUAUGGGAAAUCCUUUUCAACCCAAUACAGUGAGAAAUCGCUGGUUAAAAGACUCCCUUGGUUAGUCUUCUUAUAUAAAACCUCUCUUUCUAAUAAAAACCUCCUGUUUAUAACCACAGUGAGAUCAAGCACAGUUUAAAUUAUUCACAUAGCCUGUCGUACAAAGAAACAAAGAGAGCCUGCCUCCAUCGAAUGGGUUAAAACAAAAGUGUGCAAAAAGCAGUGCCGCUGAAUCGAAACAUCUAAAAUAAAUUGGUUUACAUUUAGCACGAUUAAGCUCACACCUUUCCAACUCCCACCUGAGGGAGAAAGACAAAUAAGUGCUUUUUUAUGUUGUCUAAGCUUGUUAAAAAACAUUCCGUAACAGUGCCCUCGCUUAGAACGUCUAAAACGUUCUGAAUAUUGCACCAUUGAUGGGAGAAUAAAAACAUCAGGAGAUGAAGCACCGAAGCACCGAUGUAAAGCGAGUUUCAGCACCGCACUAGUGGAAAAGCUCUCUUCCACUCUCCUUUCCAUGUGGGGACUGAUUUUACUUGCUGAGUUUGGUCUGUAAAACACAUUGGUCACUCAUCCAAAGGCGAGUUACGCAAGUGUGUAUGAAAUGAAAUUCAACUGCAAGUCCAAGUGGAAAGAACAUGUUUAAAUUGAGGCUGAAUUCAUAAAGGAAAAAAAAGAUUAAUGCUUAUUUGCAGGAUCAGAAUUGCAACAAUGGCUGUUUGUUAGUAUUAAGGUCUGACCAUAAAAGGAAUUAAAAUAGCCUACAAUUCCUUUGAGUGUAUGACCAAGUGAGUUACCCUCCUCUUACAGUUUGGACACAUUUCAUGCACACAAGCUAUGCCCAACAAU